rnacentral:rRNA from 1 species
GACGAACGCUGGCGGCGUGCUUAACACAUGCAAGUCGAACGGAAAGGCCCUGCCUUUGUGGGGUCCUCGAGUGGCGAACGGGGGAGUUACACGUGAGUAACCUGCCCUUGACUUAGGGAUAACUUCAGGAAACUGGGGCUAAUACCGGAUAGGAGCUCCCGCUUCAUGGUGGGGGCUGGAUAGUUUCGCCGGUUGGGGAUGGACUCGCGGCUCAUGAGCUUGGUGGUGGGGUAGUGGCUUACCAUGGCUUUGCAAGGUAGCCCGCCUGGGAGGGUGAGCGGACACAUUGGGACUGGGAUACGGCCCAGACUCGUACGGGACGCAGGGGUGGAGAAUGUUGCACAAUGGGCGGAGGCCUGAUGCAGCAACGCCGCGUGCGGGGUGACGGCCUUCGGGUUGUAAACCGCAUUCGCCUGUGACGAAGCGUGAGUGACGGUAAUGGGUGAAGAAGCACCGGCUAACUACGUG